GGAUCCAGGCCCUGACGUGCGCGAGCGGCGCGGCACGGCGCGAACAACCCCGGGCUCUGGCCGCGGCCUGCCCCCACCCCCGCGCGCGGAGGGAGGAAGGAGCCGCUUCACAGCCCACAUCCGGCCCGGGCGGGCUCCGGCUGAAGUGCGGCUUAGGCCGGAGUCGUUCUGCGGCUCGGGCCCCAUUCAGCGCCCCGUGUCCGGCGGAGGGGCCCGGCGUUUCCUUCGCCAACCCGGGGUAGCUGCUCGGUGCGCCAGCCCCGCCAGCGGCAGUAAUCCCCGCCAUCUGGCCCAGGGCCCGACGCCCGGCCAAGGCUGAACAGAAACGGCACCCUACGCUCCAGCAGGAACUGCCCUGCCAUAUAUGGCCCUUCCUCCGCUCCUAAUAUGGCGCUUCCUAGGCCCAUACAAGGUGUUUCCUUCCCGGCGGUGCCGGCAGCCGGGCUCGGCCCCCCGAUCCCGAGCUGCGCCCAGACGGCCCCGCCUCAGCGAACAGCAGCAGGAGACAUCACCACCACCAAGCGACUGAAGCGCUGAUCAAAGGGGAGAGCCUGGCUGAAGGGCAACCAGCCAGCCUGUGGUGAGAAGCAUCUAAGUUUAGGACUCGUCCAAGUCAGUGGAGCAGCCCAGCCAGAUGUGGAGCUGGAAGAAGAGGACCUGAGCAGCCUGGACAUCCCACUUGGCAGUGGACUGAGGAUCCCAAGAGUCCUGCCUGGUGGUGACAGUGAUGGGGGAGGAGCAGGUGUCCAUUUUCCUUCAGUUAUGUCUCUAUCAAAUGUCUGAGUAGCUAGAGCCCUACCUGAGAGCAGAGCGAUGCUUCUCGUUUGCAUGCAAAGGGUCCUGGGGAGGGUGGAGCUCUGCCUUUGGCUGGGAGCAUCGCCCUGCUCCCCAAGACUGAAUGUGACCUGCAACUAGGGACACUCUGGUAUUCCCAGUCUGUCCUUCCACAUCACUGGGUGUGAGUCACUGGACACAAUGUUGUUUACCUUGGCUGUACUCAAUCUUCUCUUCCUUCAGAGCAGUGGCUCUCAACCUUUCCAGACUACUGUACCCCUUUCAGCAGUCUGAUUUGCCUUGGGUACCCCCAAGUUUCACCUCACAAAAAUUAUUUGCUUACAAAAAUACAGAAGUGUCACAGCACACUAUUACUGAAUAAUUGCUUACUUUUUCCAUAUUUUUUUACUUUCACCAUAUUAUAAAUCAACUGGAAUAUAAAUAUUGUACUUACAUUUCAGUGUAUAGAGAAUGGAAGACCCCUGGAAGACAUUGCAUACCUCCAAGGGUACAUGUAUGCCUAGUUGAGAACCACUGCUUCAGAGGACCUGAGCAUCCUGGUUAGGCAUGGGAUUUGUGGGAUGGGAUGGGGAUAGGGAGGGACCUGGUGGGACUGUCGUUGCUUACCAGUGCUGAUCACUUCAAACACUGGCUAAGCUGGAGGGGAAUUGCGGGAAGGGGGUUCCAGGAAGCAGAAUCCAGGUGACCUGACUCUGUGUGUCCUCCACAUACAAAUGCUGGCCUAGGUUAUAAGUGUUCUCGCUUUCUAUAUACAGUUCCUAAUGACACUGGGUAGAUGAGAGAAUGGACAACCUGUCUGCAGGAUCAGGGCCAAUCCCUCUAUGAACUCAGUCGUGUAAGGACAGACCUUUGCUCCAGGGUUAAACUUCGUUUUCAAGCACAUUUUUAAAAACUCCAGAUUAUAAAAUCUGUAGCAUAACCAGGA